AGCAGUCGCCACGGGAAUACGUAGGUGGCAAGCGUUGUCCGGAAUUAUUGGGCGUAAGGGCUCGCAGGCGGUUUCUUAAGUCUGAUGUGAAAGCCCCCGGCUCAACCGGGGAGGGUCAUUGGAAACUGGGAAACUUGAGUGCAGAAGAGGAGAGUGGAAUUCCACGUGUAGCGGUGAAAUGCGUAGAGAUGUGGAGGAACACCAGUGGCGAAGGCGACUCUCUGGUCUGUAACUGACGCUGAGGAGCGAAAGCGUGGGGAGCGAACAGGAUUAGAUACCCGAGUAGUCCCUGUCUCUUAUACA
rnacentral:rRNA from 1 species